AGCGAACGCUGGCGGCAGGCCUAACACAUGCAAGUCGAACGAAGUCUUCGGACUUAGUGUCGGACGGGUGAGUAACACGUGGGAACGUGCCUUUAGGUGCGGAAUCACUCAUGGAAACUUGGGAUAAUACCGAAUGUGCCCUGCGGGGGAAAGAUUUAUCGCCUUUAGAGCGGCCCGCGUCUGAUUAGCUAGCUGGUGAUGUAAAGGCUCACCACGGGUACGAUCAGUAGCUGGUCUGAGAGGAUGACCAGCCACAUUGGGACUGAGACACGGCCCAAACUCCUACGGGAGGCAGCAGUGGGGAAUCUUGCGCAAUGGGCGAAAGCCUGACGCAGCCAUGCCGCGUGGAUGAUGAAGGUCUUAGGAUUGUAAAAUCCUUUCACCGGUGAAGAUAAUGACUGUAGCCGGAGAAGAAGCCCCGGCUAACUUCGUGCCAGCAGCCGCCGUAAUAC
rnacentral:rRNA from 1 species